rnacentral:rRNA from 1 species
GACGAACGCUGGCGGCGUGCUUAACACAUGCAAGUCGAACGGAAAGGCCCUGCUUUUGUGGGGUGCUCGAGUGGCGAACGGGUGAGUAACACGUGAGUAACCUGCCCUUGACUUUGGGAUAACUUCAGGAAACUGGGGCUAAUACCGGAUAGGAGCUCCUGCUGCAUGGUGGGGGUUGGAAAGUUUCGGCGGUUGGGGAUGGACGCGCGGCUUAUCAGUUUGUUGGUGGGGUAGUGGCUUACCAAGGCUUUGACGGGUAGCCGGCCUGAGAGGGUGACCGGCCACAUUGGGACUGAGAUACGGCCCAGACUCCUACGGGAGGCAGCAGUGGGGAAUAUUGCACAAUGGGCGGAAGCCUGAUGCAGCAACGCCGCGUGCGGGAUGACGGCCUUCGGGUUGUAAACCGCUUUCGCCUGUGACGAAGCGUGAGUGACGGUAAUGGGUAAAGAAGCACCGGCUAACUACGUG